rnacentral:rRNA from 1 species
CCUACGGGAGGCAGCAGUGGGGAAUAUUGCACAAUGGGGGAAACCCUGAUGCAGCGACGCCGCGUGAGUGAAGAAGUAUUUCGGUAUGUAAAGCUCUAUCAGCAGGGAAGAAAAUGACGGUACCUGAGUAAGAAGCCCCGGCUAACUACGUGCCAGCAGCCGCGGUAAUACGUAGGGGGCAAGCGUUAUCCGGAUUUACUGGGUGUAAAGGGAGCGUAGACGGCAGCACAAGUCUGGAGUGAAAUGCCGGGGCUUAACCCCGGAACUGCUUUUGAAACUGUGCAGCUAGAGUGCAGGAGAGGUAAGUGGAAUUCCUAGUGUAGCGGUGAAAUGCGUAGAUAUUAGGAGGAACACCAGUGGCGAAGGCGGCUUACUGGACUGUAACUGACGUUGAGGCUCGAAAGCGUGGGGAGCAAACAGGAUUAGAUACCCGUGUAGUC